CGCCCUGUAGUCUAAUGGUACGAUGUCGCCAGUCCACAUUUCGUGACGAGGCGGAGAUUGCAAGCUCGAUUCUUGUCGGGGCUU